rnacentral:rRNA from 1 species
CUACCAUGCAGUCGAACGGUACAGGAUCCGCUUGCUGCUUCGCUGACGAGUGGAGGACGGGUGAGUAAUGGCUGGGAAACUGCCUGAUGGAGGGGGAUAACUACUGGAAACGGUAGCUAAUACCGCAUAACGUCGCAAGACCAAAGAGGGGGACCUUCGGGCCUCUUGCCAUCGGAUGUGCCCAGAUGGGAUUAGCUAGUAGGUGGGGUAACGGCUCACCUAGGCGACGAUCCCUAGCUGGUCUGAGAGGAUGACCAGCCACACUGGAACUGAGACACGGUCCAGACUCCUACGGGAGGCAGCAGUGGGGAAUAUUGCACAAUGGGCGCAAGCCUGAUGCAGCCAUGCCGCGUGUAUGAAGAAGGCCUUCGGGUUGUAAAGUACUUUCAGCGGGGAGGAAGGGAGUAAAGUUAAUACCUUUGCUCAUUGACGUUACCCGCAGAAGAAGCACCGGCUAACUCCGUGCCAGCAGCCGCGGUAAUACGGAGGGUGCAAGCGUUAAUCGGAAUUACUGGGCGUAAAGCGCACGCAGGCGGUUUGUUAAGUCAGAUGUGAAAUCCCCGGGCUCAACCUGGGAACUGCAUCUGAUACUGGCAAGCUUGAGUCUCGUAGAGGGGGGUAGAAUUCCAGGUGUAGCGGUGAAAUGCGUAGAGAUCUGGAGGAAUACCGAUAUGUGAAGGCGGCCCCCCUGGACGAAGACUGACGCUCAGGCUGCGAAAGCGUGCUGGAGCAAACAGGAUUAGAUGACCCUGA